AAGGCUUGACAUACACCGGAAUCAUUCAGAGAUGGGUGAGUCUUCGGACUGGUGUACAGGUGGUGCAUGGUUGUCGUCAGCUCGUGUCGUGAGAUGUUGGGUUAAGUCCCGCAACGAGCGCAACCCUCGUUCUAUGUUGCCAGCACGUCAUGGUGGGGACUCAUAGGAGACUGCCGGGGUCAACUCGGAGGAAGGUGGGGAUGACGUCAAAUCAUCAUGCCCCUUAUGUCUUGGGCUUCACGCAUGCUACAAUGGCCGGUACAAAGGGCUGCGAUACCGUAAGGUGGAGCGAAUCCCAAAAAACCGGUCUCAGUUCGGAUUGGGGUCUGCAACUCGACCCCAUGAAGUCGGAGUCGCUAGUAAUCGCAGAUCAGCAACGCUGCGGUGAAUACGUUCCCGGGCC
rnacentral:rRNA from 1 species